rnacentral:tRNA from 1 species
GAGAAAUUAUUUUAAUUAAAAUAUGAAUCUGUCAGAUUCAAGCUAUCACAUGAUAUUUCUUU